UACUACUCAUGAAGCUUUCCUUAUGUGCUAGUUAUUGAAUUAAGUUUGUUGUGGGUGCCUUCAGUCAAUUCUGACUCUAGCGACCCUAUGUACAGCAGACUGGAACCCUGCCUGAUCUUUUUGUGCCAUCCUCUCACCUUCCAUCACUGUAUCAGACAAGGCUCUGGUGCUAUUCAUAGGGUUCUAAUGACCAGUUCUUUUGGAAGUGGGUGGCCAGUGUUCUUCCUAGUCUAUCUCAUUCUAGAAGCUCUGCUGAAGCCUGUCCCCCAUGGGUGACCCUGCUGAUAUUUGAAACACUGGUGGCAUAGCUUUCAGCAUCACAGCAGCAUGCAGUCACCACAGUACGACAACCAAGAGGCAGGUGGUGUGGUUCCCUGACUGGGAAAGGAACCUGGCCUUAGCGGUAAGAGCACAGACUCAUAACCAAUAGAUUGAGCAAAGCACUUUUACUGUACUCUCAAAUUUAAUUUACAGCAAAUUCUUUUCUUUGUUUGUUUUCUGAGGAAGAUGCACCCUGAGCUAACAUCUGUUGCCAAUCUUCCUUUUUUCUUUUUAUGUGAGCUGCCAUCAUAGCAUGGCCGCUAACAGACAAGUGGUAUAGGUCUGUGCCUGGCACCCGAACCCGGGCUGCAAAAGCACAGUGCGUCAAACUUAACCGGUAGGCCACCAGGGCUGACCCUACAGAAAAUUCUGAUGAGAAGCACUGCACCCCAAUUUUACAGUUAAAAAAUGCAGCACUGAGAAAGUAAAUGACUUGUCCAAUUUUACAAUUUUUGCAGAAAUUCAAAUCUAGGUUUGUGUGGUCAUAAAGCAGAUCUUACAAUGUCCUCACCUCAAUUCCCUCUUAUUUUCAGGUAUUCUUUGAAGAAAAAUUCAAAUAAAAGUAAAAUAUAACAUUUUAAACAUAAAAUAGAGCUUUUCUUACAUUGUUCUCUGAGUAUUUAAAUAAUAAAUUAUCCUAAAUUAAAGUUUUCAGAAAGGGUUAUGAUAAACUUGAAAUAAUAAACAUUGCAAUAAAACUGUUUUAUGACAAUUAAUCUAGAUUUUGUGUGGCACUGGAACUUUAUUUUCUUCUAUAAAAUUUUUAUUUUUGUUUCUCCUUGGCAUUUUUUUCUAUUAAAAUCCAGAAAAUGUUGGGCUUCACGAAGUUAUUGGCGUCUUAAUUUGAUCAAAAGCAUUUUAUUUUUUAAUAUCAACUAUAUAGUUUUCAAAACAGGAUCUAAACAAAGUCAUUUUAGAAAUUUGUGAGGAAUAGAGACGCAGUACUAUGAUCUCUGAAAUUGGGCCACAAUUUUAAUUUUUCAAAGCACUUAGUUUUUAAAAUAAAAUAAAAUCACUUAGUUUUUAUUUUGGGUAAAAUAAAAGGCUCCAUAGAUAUUUCUACUCCUCAGGCAGGGGAGAAAAACACUAAUAAACUUUAUAAUAGUUAUAGCAAAAAUAUUAUUGUUUCUGUAACAAAUGAAUGGCUUCAUUUUCUCAAACUCUAAAUACAUUGUACGGCCAUCAGAAGUAACGUAAGAGAGUUAAAUGCAAAUAUCAUUUUAAAUAUAGCACUUAUUGAAAGGACUGUACUUACAGUGUGCCUUUUAUACCUAUAAAUCAAGGGAAACUAAAAUCUUCUUGACUAUCAUUAUAUUUUUAAUGUUAGUAGGAGAGGAACUGAUGUGAUUAACAUAUUCAGGCAAGGCCAAAUUGAACUUUAAAACUUCUGUUUUAUAUUUUUAUUCAAGUUUGUUCCAACCUUUAUAAACUGUCAGCAAAUGAGCAAAAUAAUGAAGAUCUGAGGAGUCACAGGGUGUUCUGCAGUGAGUAGAAUACUGACCUGGUGAUCCACACAGUUUCUCUCACUGACACUUCUACUGCGGGUAGGAUCCCAUCCAGUUAUGUAACACUCUCUGCCUGAUCUGUGCCUAAUGCACAAGCACACGUAAUAUACUCGUGGGGAGGAUACAGUAAAAAAAGAAGACUGAUGAUGCGUGAUAUAUAGGGGGAAAUUACAAGAAUCAAUGUUUUUGAAUUAGGACAAUAGAGCUUGAGCUCAAAUGGAGGGUUUGAUGAUGGAUUGAAGAGUGAAGACAUUGCGGCAGGUGAGAAGGCAGAUUCAUGGAUACAGAUACAGGUAGAAUUGCAGAGGUGAACUUUGAGGUUCUGAUUUACUUCUGUGAUUUUUAAAAAGCAGCCCAGGUGAUAUAGUGAAAAAUCAUUGUUGAGAACUAUUCUAGGGUCAGCCUAUGGGAGGAGAGCCUGAGAUUGGAAUUAGAGGAGAGUGUCAAGGAAUUGAAAAAACAAGCAUUGGCUGAACUAUUGCUAUCUCUAGAAGUUAAGAUAGGAUUUGUGGUAGGGAGGUAAACAGUGACCCCUGUGCUGGGAAGAGCUGCCAUUGUCGGAAGGCAAGAACUUCAAAGGUGCUAAAAUCCCCUCAACAGGCUUAGCUUCACUUCACAAUUUCAGUCCAAUCCUUGCCUCAGUCUAGGUGAUAAGUUUUGAAAUUGUCUUCACAUUACAAUAACUUAUGGAACAUUAAAAUAAUAAAAACAAAAAGCUAGUGCCGGGUCUCCCCUUGCUUGAGAUGCUAUUAAUUGAUCUGAUAUGGGGUUCAGUCUAGGUAUUUUUAAAAGAUCCCCAUGUGGUUCUAAAGUGCUGCAGGAUAGAAAACCCGGUUCUGGGUGAAGGAAAUAUAAAGCAUCAGAAGCACGUUAGUUAAAACAAAACGAAACAGAGAAAGAUUUUCGCUGGUUCUUCUGUCAUUUUCCGCAGUCACAUGCCCACCCUAGUAAUCAGAAAAUAAAGCAUCUAUGACCCCUCUCUCCUUCCUUGAAUUUCUCGCCUCUUGCCCUCUUCCUCCACCCCUCCUGCUCCUUUUACUGGAUGCUAUUGCCAACCCCCACUGCAGAGCACAUUGUGAAUAACUUUUAGAUUAUUGUGAAGCAUUCUCGUACCCACGUUUUUGCCUCCCCCCACCUCCUUCCUUCCUUUUUUUCUUCCUUCGUUCUAUGGGCUUCAGGAAAAUGCCUCAGUUUAAGAUAUACUUUAAUUCAAAUUUUCAGGAACACUAAAUUAGACUGCAAAGCUCUGAACAUGUGCUCUUUUUCAAUACUUCUGUCCCUUUUUGGACUAAAAGCAUAUAUCACCCAGCACUCUGAGCCUAAUUCUUCUGUCUGGACCUCCUCACUGCAUCCUGAGCACUUGACUUGGCGUACAGCUCUCUAAUUCAACCUGAAGAAAUCAAAUUGGCUUACACUUACAUAUAUGUCACAUUUUUCAAGCAUUCAUUUUAAAAAUAAAUUUAUUCUACUUAAGUGUAUUUUGUUUGACACAAAGCUUUGAUUAUUGUAUUUGAAUAAGGAUCACACCCUCAAAUAUUAAAAGAAAAUUUUCAUUGAAAACCUCUUUUAAAAUAUUUAACACUAAAAAAUUUGCUUCUUUUCAUGGUGCAGUUACCACAGUGAAAAUGUGUGAAAACUCAUCAUUUUAGUUACUGUUUGAGUUUGCAAUACCUCCUUGUCCAGUUUGAUGAAAUGAGUAUUUCAUGGAGAAUCCACAGCAAGAACGAUAAAAAUGUCCUUACCCUUCCCACAGAAGCUAACAUCAAGAAGAGUUUUCAAAUAUUCCCUCUAUGCCAUGGAAACACCUAGAGCAAGAUCACUCAAGCUGUGCUGUUUAUCUAUUUUCACUAGGGCUUUCAUUUGAUCAGAGAAAGGGGAGGAAGGCUGUGGCAUAUCACUGGCCCACAUUCCCACCUCUAACCAGAGAACCAGAGCUAGUGCAGGGCCACGUGACAUUUAUUGAAUCUACACUUAACAUUUUGUUCUUGAGUAAAGAGUUUGGCUAUUACAAAAUUUUUCUUUUAAAAGUAGAAAAUCACUAACUAGAGGCAGAUAAGAUAACAAAUUGUGAAGAGUCUGCUGAGUACAUUGAUUAUAGACCUGUGUGUAUGUUUGUGUGUGUGUGUGUGUGUGUGUAGUCCUAAGUUAUUAAGAUUUUGUCAUGAAUUCUAGGAACAUUUCGGGCUCCACACAGCAUAGGCGUUGGUCAUCACCCUCCUUACAAAUUAUACACUUAUAAAUUGUUCUCUCUGUUUAUCCUGAGGAAAAGCAGAAGGAUGAGCCUAUCCAUGAAGGGAAGACAGGAAAAAAGAUCGAAUGCUUUAAUCACAGUGUUAUCUUGGGGAAUUGCUCCAGUUUCUUAGGAGGUUUCUGGAUGGGAAUGAACAACUGGGCUAUGGAGGUAGACAACUCAGUUGCUGACCAGCCACCUCACAAAGCAUCAUUAUCAACAAUGUGAUUGUCAUGCUUCAGUUUAAUGAGCUGAAGAAAUAUAUGGCUCAUGCCAGUGCAUUGAAGAGUAUUAAUACCAUACUGAGAGAUGUAAAAGACUGACGUAUCCAUUCUCGAUAAAGGAGGAGUCCCACUCCAGCAGGAGCAGCAAUCCCAGGAUGUCAACUCACUUCAUGGUUUGGGGUCACCAAGAAAGGUAAAAGUCACCAGGAACUGGUGAUGGAACAGUGCUUUACUCACACUGGGAAGAGACAGAGUGAGAUCAGCUUGUACAAUGAGCCUGGGUCCCCAGUGGCCAGCAGGUCUUGCCCCACUGCCAACACAGUGUGAUGGUCUGCAAGCAGCCCCCCUCCUGCUGCAAGCAAAGGAUCCCAUCCUUCCCUGGUGGGGUUGACAUACCGAAGGCUGGGACUGUGCCUGAGAGCUAUCUGAAGCACAAGCUUAAGCAAGACAAAGAAGCACAUCAAGCCUGGAAUAGGGAAAGAGACUCUCAAGCAAGGCCCUAUGUCUAGCAAAUGCUGUGAGGGCUCACCAUCUCUUUUGCAAGGAAAUGUUCCAGGCCCAUUACAGGGCCAUGCAAAGGUCAAAAGACUGCACACACAAGACUGCCUUUUUCAGCAAUUUGCAAUCCAAAAAUAUUUAUAAACAUGAUGUGUAUAACAAAAGAGUACUAAUUCAAAAAUAGUUAAUAAUUUUCUUAAAAUAUUUUGCAUUUCUCCUUUUCUUUAAAGCACCUGGUUUGGGUUAUUAUAAAUCAUAUUUAUUUAAACUACAUUAUUUGCUUUAUUAGUUAAAAGAUUCAGCAUACUAUUAAUUCAGUGCUGAUGAAAUCUACAUUUUCUUUUACAAUAUUAUUGUCUAUAUUCAUUAUACUGUGCAUUAGAUCUCUAUGGCUGAUUUACUACUCAUUUCAAGUUUGUACACUUAAAUACCAUCAGUCUUAUCCCCCCUUCCCUGGGUAGGCCACCCUUUUACUCUAUUUUUUAGAGGUUUAACCUUUUUUAGAUUCCUCAUAUAAGUGAUAUCCUACAGUACUUGUCUUUCUGUGACUGACAUCUUGCUUAGCUUGGUGUGCUUAAAGUUUAUACAAGCUGUGGCAAAUGGAAGGAUAUCCUCCUUUCUUAUGGCUGAACAAUAUUCCAUUGUGUAUGUGUACCACUUCUUUUUUAUCUAUUCAUCCAUGAUGGGCAUUUGGGUUGUUUCCAUAUCUUAGCUAUUGUGAACAGUGCUGCGAUAAACGUGAGCAUGCAUAUAUCUCAUCAAAAUGCUGUUUUCAUUUCCUUUGGGUAUAUAGCCAGAAGUGGAAUUGCUGGAUUAUAUGGUAGAUCUAUUUUUAACUUUUUGAAGACCUUCCAUUAUGUUUGUCAUCGUAGUUGGACCAAUACACAUUCCCAAGACCUAUGUAUAAGGGUUCCCUUUUCACCACAUCCUUGCCAGCACCUGUUGUCUCUUGUCUUCUUGAUGAUAGCCAUUCUAAUAGGUGUGAGGUGAUGUCUCACUGUGGUUUUGAUUUGCAUUUCCUUGAUGACUGGUGAUGUUGAACAUCUUUUCAUGUGUCUGUUGGCCACUUUUAUUUUUGAAAAAUGUCUAUUUUGAUCUUUUGCCCAUUUUUAAAAAUCAAAUUUUCUGAGUGUUUUUUGUUAUUAAGUUGACUGAGUUCUUUGCAUAUUUUGGAUAUUAAUCCUUAUUAAAUAUAUGGCUUGAAAAAAUUUUCUUCCAUUCUGUAGGUUGUCUUCUCAUUUUGUUGAUUGUUUCUUUUGCUUUGUGGAUGCCUUUGAGUUUGAUGUAGUCCCAUUUGUUGAUUUUUGCUUUUGUUGUUUGUCCUUUUGGUGUUGUGUUUAAAAACUUAUUGCCAAGACCAAUAUCACUGAGUUGCUUCCCUGCAUUUUCUUCUAGGAGUUUUAUGAUAUCAGGCCUCAUAUUUAAGUCUUUGAUCCAUUUCAAAUUAACCUUUGUGAGUGGUGUGAGAUAGGGGUCUAAUUUCAUUGUUCAGCAUGUGUUUCUUCAGUUUCCCCAGCACCUUUUAUUGGAGACUAUCCUUUCCCCAUUGGGUAUUCUUGGCUCUCCUGUUGAAUAUUAGUUUUCUGGAUAUACUGGGAUUUAGUUUUGGGUCAUCUAUUCUGUUCCAUUGGUCUAUAUGUCUGUUUUUGUGCCAGUACUACACUGGUUUUAUUAACAUGGCUUUGUAGGAUGGUUUGAAAUCCAAAAGUGUGAUCCUCUGGCCUUGUUCCUUUUUCUCAGGAUUCUUCGGCCAUUUAGGGUCUUUCGUGGUACCAUGCAAAUUUCAUGAUUGUUUCCUCUAUUUUCGUGAAGAAUGCCUUUGGUAUUUUGAUGAGGACUGCAUUGAAUCUGUAGAUGGCUUUGAAUAGUAUGGCCAUUUUAACAGUAUUAAUUCUUCCAACCCAUGGACAUGGGAUGUCUUUUCAUUUGUUUGUGUCUUCUUCAAUUUCUUUCAGCAGAGUCUUGUAGUUUCAUUGUACGAAUCUUUCAUUUCCUUGGUUAAAUUUAUUCCCAAAUAUUUUAUUGUUUUUGAUGCUAUUGUGAAUGGGAUAGUUUUCUUUAUUUCGUUUUCAGAUGCUUAAUCAUAAAUGUAAAGGAAUGCAAUUGAUUUGUGUAUGUUGAUUUUGUAUGUUGCCAUUCUACCAAAAUUGUUAAUUAAUUACAACCAUUUUGGGGCUGAGUUUUGAGGGUUUUCUAUAUAUAAGAUCAUAUCAUCAGCAAACAGUGACAAUUUUACUUCUUCCUUUCUGAUUUGGAUGCCUUUUAUUUCUUUGUCUUGCCUAAUUGCUCUAGGUAGGACUUCCUGUACUAUAUUGAAUGUGAGUGGUGAGAAUGGAGAUCCUUGUAUUGUUUCUUAGAGGAAAUAAUUUCAUUUUUUCUCCACUGAGUAUAAUGUUAGCUGCAGGUUUGUUGUAUAUGGUCUUUAUUAUGUUGAGGUAUGUCCCUUCUAUACCUGAUCUGUUAAAGGCCUUUCUCAUGAAAGGAUGUUGUAUUUUGUCAAAUGCUUUUUCUAUGUCUAUUGCGAUGAUCAUGUGAUUUCUAUCUUUCAUUUCAUUGAUGUGCUGUAUUACAUUUACUGGAAAUAUGCAUUUUGAUAUAUUAAUGUUUUAUCAUUUAAUACAAUUUGUAAGCAAUUGCAUAGACAUUUACAAUCCCAAAUGUUUGUAAAAUAAAUAUAUAAUAUAAAAUUAAAUUAUAUAUUAUGUACAGUAUAAAAUAUAUAUAUUUUGUGUGUCUGUGUGUCUGUGUGUCUGUGUACACUUCAUACUCAUUGUCAACUUUGUCUUAAUCAUACCAUCUAAUUGGUUAGGUGGGGAGAAUCCUUAUGUAAGAGAAUAAGCUGAUGUUACUAACUUAUAUGUAUUUAUGCCUUCUGAGAUCGUAUAAAAAAUAGCACAUAUA